GGCACGGUGGUGCUGUGGUUAGCGCUUUUGCCUCACACAAAGCAGGUCAUGGGUUCGAGUCCCAGCCGGCCA